GUCCCAGACUCCUACGGGAGGCAGCAGUGGGGAAUAUUGCACAAUGGGGGAAACCCUGAUGCAGCGACGCCGCGUGAGUGAAGAAGUAAUUCGUUAUGUAAAGCUCUAUCAGCAGGGAAGAAAAUGACGGUACCUGAGUAAGAAGCCCCGGCUAACUACGUGCCAGCAGCCGCGGUAAUACGCAGGGGGCAAGCGUUAUCCGGAUUUACUGGGUGUAAAGGGAGCGUAGACGGCAGUGCAAGUCCGGAGUGAAAGCCCGGGGCUCAACCCUGGGACUGCUCUGGAAACUGUAAAGCUGGAGUGCGGGAGGGGCAGGCGGAAUUCCUGGUGUAGCGGUGAAAUGCGUAGAUAUCAGGAGGAACACCGGCGGCGAAGGCGGCCUGCUGGACCGUAACUGACGUUGAGGCUCGAAAGCGUGGGGAGCAAACAGGAUUAGAUACCCUGGUA
rnacentral:rRNA from 1 species